GACGAACGCUGGCGGCGUGCUUAACACAUGCAAGUCGAACGGAAAGGCCCUGCUUUUGUGGGGUGCUCGAGUGGCGAACGGGUGAGUAACACGUGAGUAACCUGCCCUUGACUUUGGGAUAACUUCAGGAAACUGGGGCUAAUACCGGAUAGGAGCUCCUGCUGCAUGGUGGGGGUUGGAAAGUUUCGGCGGUUGGGGAUGGACUCGCGGCUUAUCAGCUUGUUGGUGGGGUAGUGGCUUACCAAGGCUUUGACGGGUAGCCGGCCUGAGAGGGUGACCGGCCACACUGGAACUGAGACACGGUCCAGACUCCUACGGGAGGCAGCAGUGGGGAAUAUUGCACAAUGGGCGGAAGCCCGAUGCAGCAACGCCGCGUGCGGGAUGACGGCCUUCGGGUUGUAAACCGCUUUCGCCUGUGACGAAGCGUGAGUGACGGUAAUGGGUAAAGAAGCACCGGCUAACUACGUGCCAGCAGCCGCGGUGAUACGUAGGGUGCGAGCGUUGUCCGGAUUUAUUGGGCGUAAAGGGCUCGUAGGUGGUUGAUCGCGUCGGAAGUGUAAUCUUGGGGCUUAACCCUGAGCGUGCUUUCGAUACGGGUUGACUUGAGGAAGGUAGGGGAGAAUGGAAUUCCAGGUGUAGCGGUGAAAUGCGUAGAGAUCUGGAGGAAUACCGGUGGCGAAGGCGGCCCCCUGGACAAAGACUGACGCUCAGGUGCGAAAGCGUGGGGAGCAAACAGGAUUAGAUACCCUGGUAGUCCACGCCGUAAACGAUGUCGAUUUGGAGGUUGUGCCCUUGAGGCGUGGCUUCCGGAGCUAACGCGUUAAAUCGACCGCCUGGGGAGUACGGCCGCAAGGUUAAAACUCAAAUGAAUUGACGGGGGCCCGCACAAGCGGUGGAGCAUGUGGUUUAAUUCGAUGCAACGCGAAGAACCUUACCUGGUCUUGACAUCCACAGAACUUUCCAGAGAUGGAUUGGUGCCUUCGGGAACUGUGAGACAGGUGCUGCAUGGCUGUCGUCAGCUCGUGUUGUGAAAUGUUGGGUUAAGUCCCGCAACGAGCGCAACCCUUAUCCUUUGUUGCCAGCGGUUAGGCCGGGAACUCAAAGGAGACUGCCAGUGAUAAACUGGAGGAAGGUGGGGAUGACGUCAAGCCAUCAUGGCCCUUACGACCAGGGCUACACACGUGCUACAAUGGCAUAUACAAAGAGAAGCGACCUCGCGAGAGCAAGCGGACCUCAUAAAGUAUGUCGUAGUCCGGAUUGGAGUCUGCAACUCGACUCCAUGAAGUCGGAAUCGCUAGUAAUCGUAGAUCAGAAUGCUACGGUGAAUACGUUCCCGGGCCU
rnacentral:rRNA from 1 species